rnacentral:siRNA from 1 species
UGUAUUAUAGUUUCCGGUGUUG